UAUGUGCAGAGUUGACUUCUGCGAUGUCUACUGUCUAACAAUUGAGCUUUUGCAUAUUAGGCAUUCUUAAUAGCGACAGCUAACGUCCUUGGAGUGCUUAGGAGGUUAAAAGAAAACCCCUGUGCAUGCGUGUCCCUCCCUUAUCCUGUGUAAUCCUCACUGUGAUCUUUGUCGGGCUGGGGUACUGGAUUUUAGGUGAAGACUGAGGCACAGAGAGAGACCGGAAGAGUGUC